AAUUAAAUUUGUUAUUUACAUGUGAAUUUUAAUGUGAGAUUUUUAUUGAUUUAAAUAGUUGGUAUUUUUAUAUUAUUUGCAGUAGAUUAUUUUAAAUAUUAAUGAGAGUUAGAUUUAGGGAAAAUUUUAUGUAUUAACCAAUUUUGUGCCAGCAGUUGCGGUUACACAAAGAAUGCAAUUUAAUUUUUUUUAGCGUUAAUAUAUUGUAAAUUAUAAAAAUUGAAUGUGGAAGUUUUUAGGUGAAAUUUUAAUUUUUGCUUUAAUUUUUUGGUUUUUGGUUAUUUAAUAAAUUUUUUAAUAAACUAGGAUUAGAUACCCUAUUAUUUUUAAUGUAAAAUUUAGCUAGAUUAUUAAUAGUUAAAGUCUCGAAAAUUAAAAAAUUUGGCGGUUUUUUAGUCUAUUCAGAGGAACCUGUUCUAUAAUCGAUAGUCCACGAUUUUAUAUACUUUUUUUAUUAGUUUGUAUAUCGUCGUAGUUUGAAUGUUUUAAAAGAAUUUUAAUAUUCAAUAAUUAUUUUUUAAUUAAAUUCAGAUCAAGGUAUAGCUUAUAAGGAAGAAGAAAUGGGUUACAUUUAUUUUAAUUAGCGAUUGUUAAAUUGAAAAUUUAGAUGAAUUUGGAUUUGAAAGUAAUUUUAUUUAAAUUUUUAAAAUGAUUUUAGCUCUAAAAUAUGUACAUAUCGCCCGUCGCUUUCACCUUAAAGUGAAAUAAGUCGUAACAAAGUAGGUUUACUGGAAAGUGUACCUAGAAUGGU
rnacentral:ncRNA from 1 species